rnacentral:lncRNA from 1 species
GGCUUGCCACUGUUCCUGCACGGCUAAGUGUCCGGGUUCAUCCUAAUCAAGCUGAACACUAGUCACUGGGUUCCACGGUUCUCUUCCAUGACCCAUGGCUUCUAAUAGAGCUAUAACACUCACUGCAUGGCCCAAGAUUCCAUUCCUUGGAAUCCGUGAGGCCAAGAACCCCAGGUCAGAGAACACGAGGCUUGCCACCAUCUUGGAAGCAGCCUGCCGCCAUUUUGGAAGUGGCCCACCACCAUCUUGGGAGCUCUGGGAGCAAGGACCACCUGGUAACAAUAGGCCAAAUACUGUGCUGAUAAGCUUGAAAGCCUGCCCUGAAUCCUCAUCUAUUGAUGGAGAUGGUGUCAUCUUCCCUUGAUUGUAUCCAGAAGCUUCAUCCCCAAGAUAAAGGAUGGACAUCUCUCAGAUGACCAGCUUCUUUUGCUCGACUCUAGAGAAGGUUGCUUUCUGCAUUCUGGCAACUGCCCUCUGUCUACAUGAUUAGACUCGUUGGUUGCAGUGCUUUCUGGAGUAAUGAAGGGAUCCAGUGCACAGGGUUUAACUUACUGGGCACAAUCUCUAAGCCAACUCUGCCUGAAUGGGUCCCCUGUUUUUUCUCUUCUGCUCUUGUUGAACCAUAUCUCUGUUCCUUGUGCUCCUGGGAAUUUCUUGCUCUGGUCAUGAAAAAAAUGGAAACUCUCUCAAGGACUAACAGUCAGAGCUGUCUGGUUGACAAGGGACGUUAUGGUUGCAAGAAGACCCUGAAGCAAGGAUUCUACAUCAAAGAUUCCGGGGCAAUCUGAGUUUGCAUUUAAGAUCCUUCUGCCU